GAGACACGCUGGCGGCGUGCCUAACACAUGCAAGUCGAACGGAGAGGACAUGAAGUAUUUCGGUACGGAAUGCUCUCUUAGUGGCGAACGGGUGAGUAACACGUGGGCAACCUGCCCCAGACUGGGGGAUAACAUUGUGAAAACAGUGCUAAUACCGCAUGACAGGGUUCCGGGCAUCCGGGACCCUUGAAAGGAGAAAUCCGGUCAGGGAUGGGCCCGCGUCCAAUUAGCUAGUUGGCGGGGUAACGGCCCACCAAGGCGACGAUUGGUAGCCGAACUGAGAGGUUGAUCGGCCACAUUGGGACUGAGACACGGCCCAGACUCCUACGGGAGGCAGCAGUGGGGAAUAUUGGGCAAUGGGCGAAAGCCUGACCCAGCGACGCCGCGUGAAGGAUGAAGGUCUUCGGAUUGUAAACUUCUUUGAUCAGGGAAGAAAGAAAUGACGGUACCUGAAAAACAAGCCACGGCUAACUACGUG
rnacentral:rRNA from 1 species